rnacentral:rRNA from 1 species
AAAACUUUCAACAACGGAUCUCUAGGCUCUUGCAUCGAAUGAAGAACGCAGUGAAAUGCGAUAAGUAAUGUGAAUUGCAGAAUCUCGUGAAUCAUUGAAUCUUUGAACGCACAUUGCGCCCUAUGGUAUUCCAUAGGGCAUACCUGAUUUGAGCGUUAGCU